rnacentral:rRNA from 1 species
UACAGGGGGUGCAAACGUUGCUCGGAAUCAUUGGGCGUAAAGCGCACGUAGGCGGUUCGUUAUGUCGGAUGUGAAAGCCCUUGGCUUAACCGAGGAAGUGCAUCCGAAACUGACGAGCUAGAGUACGAAAGAGGAUCGCGGAAUUCCCGGUGUAGAGGUGAAAUUCGUAGAUAUCGGGAGGAACACCGGUGGCGAAGGCGGCGAUCUGGGUCGAUACUGACGCUGAGGUGCGAAAGCGUGGGGAGCAAACAGG